UGGGGAAUAUUGUGCAAUGGGGGAAACCCUGACACAGCGACGCCGCGUGAGCGAAGAAGGCCUUCGGGUCGUAAAGCUCAAUAGUAUGGGAAGAAAUAAAUGACGGUACCAUACGAAAGCCCCGGCUAACUACGUGCCAGCAGCCGCGGUAAUACGUAGGGGGCGAGCGUUGUCCGGAAUUACUGGGCGUAAAGAGCACGUAGGCGGCUAUAAAAGUCAGAUGUGAAAAACCUGGGCGCAACCGAGGGUGUGCAUCUGAAACUAAAUAGCUUGAGUCAAGGAGAGGAGAGCGGAAUUCCUGGUGUAGCGGUGAAAUGCGUAGAGAUCAGGAAGAAUACCAGUGGCGAAAGCGGCUCUCUGGACUUGAACUGACGCUGAGGUGCGAAAGCGUGGGGAGCAAACAGG
rnacentral:rRNA from 1 species